GGGUUCUUAGCUCAGUGGUUAGAGCCGCCCGCUCAUAACGGGCUGGUCGCAGGUUCGAAUCCUGCAGAACCCACCA
rnacentral:tRNA from 1 species